GUUUUGUAUCUAGUUUUAUUUCCGCAGACCUUGUGUUCUAGAUCUUUUGUAAUACGGAUUUCUCUUUAUCUAUUCAGCAUUCAGUAUUCAGCUUUUGUUCUUGAUUUCGUUUAUUCUUGUUCAUUCUGUUAUCAUCCUGCUGUUAUACUGUUGUUAUCAUGUUUUCAACUUGUUCAACGUUUAUGCUUUCUGUUAUGAUGUCUGAGUAGUGAAUAGGUUUCUGAGGAUGGAUUAGGGUAGUGUAGAAUUCUCAGUAUGCUAGGUGAUUGAGUAUUGAUUGAUAGAUCCCUUCUGGAUUAGUUGUUCUUAAUGCCUAUUGCUUUCCAAUCAACUGGAAUUUGAGCCAAGACAUUUCCGCGCCCAAAAGGUGUUCGAUGAAAUGUCUGAACCACUAAUUACAGAG
rnacentral:sRNA from 1 species